UACGAAGGGGGCUAGCGUUGCUCGGAAUCACUGGGCGUAAAGCGCACGUAGGCGGCUUCUUAAGUCAGGGGUGAAAUCCUGGAGCCUCAACUCCAGAACUGCCUUUGAUACUGAGAAGCUUGAGUUCGGGAGAGGUGAGUGGAACUGCGAGUGUAGAGGUGAAAUUCGUAGAUAUUCGCAAGAACACCAGUGGCGAAGGCGGCUCACUGGCCCGAUACUGACGCUGAGGCACGAAAGCGUGGGGAGCAAACAGGG
rnacentral:rRNA from 1 species